UCUCCCGUAAGGGAGCAGUCUCGCCUGACACUUGUAACAGGCAACGAGGGUUGCGUUCGUUACCCCACUUAAGGGAACAGCUCAAACCACGAACUGACGACAACCAUGCAGCACCUGUCUAACUGUCCUUGCGGACGACACACGUUUCUGCGUGUCUUCAGUUAGAUUUCUAACCCUGGUAAGGUUUUUCGUUUAUCAUCGAAUUAAACCACAUAAUCCACUGCUUGUGCAAGUCCCCGUCUAUUCCUUUGAGUUUUAAUCUUGCGAUCGUACUACCCAGGCGCUUCUCUUAACGCGUUAGCUUCGCCUCUCAGAGGGUCGAUACUCCGAAAAGCUAGAGAAGAUCGUUUAGGGCGUGGACUAC
rnacentral:misc_RNA from 1 species